UCCGGAUUAACUCCGGCAGUCUCCUUAGAGUUCUCAGCAUUACCUGCUAGCAACAAAGGAUGAGGGUUGCGCUCGUUGCGGGACUUAACCCAACAUCUCACGACACGAGCUGACGACAGCCAUGCAGCACCUGUGCAUUGUCCAGCCGAACUGAAGGACUAGGUUUCCCUAGUCCGCGACAAGCAUGUCAAGGCCUGGUAAGGUUCUUCGCGUUGCCUCGAAUUAAACCACAUGUUCCACCGCUUGUGCGGGCCCCCGUCAAUUUCUUUGAGUUUUAACCUUGCGGCCGUACUCCCCAGGCGGGGUGCUUAACGCGUUAGCUACGCCACCGAGACUCAUGUCCCGACGGCUAGCACCCAUCGUUUAGGGCGUGGACUAC
rnacentral:misc_RNA from 1 species